CCUACGGGUGGCAGCAGUGAGGAAUAUUGGUCAAUGGGCGCGAGCCUGAACCAGCCAAGUAGCGUGAAGGAUGACUGCCCUACGGGUUGUAAACUUCUUUUAUAAAGGAAUAAAGUGAGGCACGUGUGCCUUUUUGUAUGUACUGUAUGAAUAAGGAUCGGCUAACUCCGUGCCAGCAGCCGCGGUCAUACGGAGGAUCCGAGCGUUAUCCUGAUUUAUUGGGUUUAAAGGGAGCGUAGAUGGGUUGUUAAGUCAGUUGGGAAAGUUUGCGGCUCAACCGUAAAAUUGCAAUUGAAACUGGCAGCCUUGAGUACAGGAGAGGUAGGCGGAAUUCGUGGUGUAGCGGUGAAAUGCUUAGAUAUCACGAAGAACUCCGAUUGCGAAGGCAGCCUACUAGACUGCCACUGACACUGAUGCUCGAAAGUGUGGGUAUCAAACAGGAUUAGAUACCCGUGUAGUC
rnacentral:rRNA from 1 species